AGGGAGAAGCAGGCUCCCUGCCGAGCAGGGAGCCCGACGCGGGACUCGAUCCUGUGACUCCAGGAUCAUGACCUGAGCCGAAGGCAGUCGCUUAAACAACUGAGCCACCCAGGCGCCCAAGCCUGGCCUCUUCUUUAGUCCAUCUUUCCCUUCCAGAUCCCGGCUCUGAAGCGUCAGCUGACCACAAAAACACGUCCUUUUCUGCCCCUGACAGGCAUGUAGACACCGCCCCCUCCUCCGUGUCUGCAACACUCCUACCAGCUGUCGCCCCCACCCCCGGGCUCCUCCGUGAGCCUGUGCCCAGCGGCUUGGCCUGCCGCCCCCCAGCUCCUCACUUCCGUCAAGACCCCUGCUUUCCAAAGGUUUUGUUUAUUAAACGGCACUUAUUAAGUAAUCAUUUCCCCCCUUUUAACCAAUGACAUGUACUGGUUUGCUAGGGAUUCCAAAGAACGCCAGGGACUGGAAAUUACCUCACUGGAUGGGCAUGUCUCCAGACAAAACUAGAACACUUUAUUAGCCAGGGGUUCCUUCUCUCUGGGAAACAUGCAAUAAACAUUAGCCUUCCUUAAAAAUCUUGACUGUCGGUCAUGGACCCCCUUUCGUGCCUUCUGGGCCUCCGGUUGGAAAGCCUGGGCUGAGGGCCAUGGGGUGUUCACGGUUUAUCUGGAGAAGCAGGAUGGACGCCCGGCGUUAACCGUCCACAGCUGUGGACAGACGCGGGGCCCCCUCUCCAGUGCCCUUCUCUCCCACGUGCUCCCAUGUGCGCUACCCCGGGCUUGACGGGCAGCCCGGAGAGUGAGAAGCAGGUCACCAGGGCUGGACAGGGUAGCGGCAUCCAGAAGCCUUCGUGUCCCACACCCGUGGAAGGGCGGCCAGGCCUGCAGAGGCUGUAGGAGGACACCUCGGAGGUAUCCUAAGCCAGAAGGCCUUGACCGAGAUGGGCCUAGAGCAAACAGGACCCAGGCACUGUUCUAGGCACUGGAGUGAAUAAAGCAUCAGGAUGCUUGCCUGUGUGGAGCUUCCGUUCCCAGCGGGGAGAGAGAGCACGAACGAGAUGCGCCCCACGCUGUGGAGCGUAAGCCCUCCGCCCGCCCCCGGAGCCGCCUGGCCCUGACCUGCGAGCGGGAGGGAGAACGGCGCUGGCCACCUUCUCCCCCCAUGUGGUGCCGCAGGACCCACGGUGGGCGAGCGGGGUCCCCUGCUGAGUCCUGCCCCGGAGCUCUGCUGUCCGGAUCCUGGGCCCUCCCGAGGUGGCAUGAGCUGCACAGGAGCCAUAACCAGCAGCGAGCUUCCAGACCCCCUGUCAUUCCCGUCAAAACUGUUUCCCACCGAGAAAGAAGCAAAGAACAGAAACCACCCCCAACCCAUCCUCCUAACACAACCACAUUUAAUGUGUGUUUAACAGCGGGCAACAAAUAUUUUGUACCUACUAUGUGAUAGGAGAUGAUACGCCAGCUAUUCAUUUUCAACAUGUUC